rnacentral:rRNA from 1 species
AGAACGAACGCUGGCGGCAUGCCUAAUACAUGCAAGUCGAACGAACUCUUCGGAGUUAGUGGCGCACGGGUGCGUAACGCGUGGGAAUCUGCCCUUGGGUUCGGAAUAACAGUUGGAAACGACUGCUAAUACCGGAUGAUGACGAAAGUCCAAAGAUUUAUCGCCCAGGGAUGAGCCCGCGUAGGAUUAGCUAGUUGGUGAGGUAAAGGCU